CAGAAGGUCUUUAGUAUGUCUUCAUGACCACAGAUCAGAUGAUACUCCUGAUGGAUCUGUAAGGGCAGUGGGCCAAGUCUGGUACUCAAGAUCACUCCAAAUGGCCAUCAGCUGGUCAUUCAGGAAAUCCUGAAUUUCCAAACAUACUAGAUCCCAUUGCAAUGCCUUCCCAGCCUCAGUGAUAUUCAAUACCAUCUUUCCUUGGUGUAGUACUGUAUUGCAUCUGUUAUUUAACUAUUCUCAGGUACUUUCACAAGGCAUUGACAUUAAUAGCAUAGGAGGGGGGUUACGUUAUUAGUCACUGGAAUGGUUUCAAUAUGGGUAAAAUUUCCAGUGGCAAAACAAACUCUUUGGGUACUUGUUAUUUAAAAUUCAAUUAGAGAGAGCAAUACAUGCUGAAGGA